UUUCAGAGAAUUUGAUGCUCAUUUACAUUUAACAGAAUAAUGUAAAAGGAAAGUCUGGGCUCCAAUAGAAUAAAAAUAUACUUUAUUAAAAUAAAGUGAUAAUUAAUUAUUAUCGAGAAAAAUCUUAGUGAAAGUAUUUUAGAAAAUAAAAAAACUCGAUCCCGAAGGGAUCAAAGAGCUAGUAUGAAAUAGAAUGUAUUCAUAAAAACCACACUUGGUGCAAGAAUUUAAUUCGCUAAAAAUCUGAAGCUCCUUGAUAUAUCAAGAGUUUAUAAGAUUUCAGAUAAAUGAGCAUCCAUUAAACAAAAAAAUACAGUUUAAAGACAAAACCCAGCUUAGAAAUUCUCUGAAU
rnacentral:misc_RNA from 1 species